rnacentral:rRNA from 1 species
AAGAUUAAGCCAUGCAUGUGUAAGUAUAAAUAUUUUACUUUGAAACUGCAAAGGGCUCAUUAUAUCAUUUAUAGUUUAUUAGAUAAAAUGUACUACUUGGAUAACCGUAGUAAUUCUAGGGCUAAUACAUGAUCAAUUCCUCGACUUUGAAGAGGUGUAUUUAUUAGAAGGAAAACCAAUAGACUUUGCUGAUUGUGAGUAAAAAUAACCUUUCUUAUCGCAUGUUUAGGUAACGAUGUGUCUUUUAAGUUUCUGCCCUAUCACCUUUCGAGGGUAGGGUAUUGGACUACCAUGGCAGUAACGGGUAACAAAAAAUUUGGGUUCAAUUUCGGAAAGGGAGCCUGAAAAGGGCUACCACAUCCAAGGAAGGCACCAGGCGCGUAAAUUACCCAAUCCUGACACAGGGAGGUAGUGACAAAAAAUCACAAUGCGGAACUUUUGUUUUGCGAUUGGAUUGAGAAAAACGCACAACACUUAUCGAUAAAAAAUUGGAGGGCGAGUCUGGUGGCAGCAGCCGCGGCGAUUCCAGCUCCUAUAGCGUAUAUUA